rnacentral:tRNA from 1 species
GCAUUGGUGGCUCAGUGGCAGAAUUCUCACUUUCCAUGCAGAAGACCUGGGUUCAAUUCCCAGCCAGUGCA